ACCACCAUUAUUCGUUUUAAGCGAUGGGGGGACGCAGUAGGAUAGGCGAAGCGUGCUGUUGGAGUGCACGUCCAAGCAGUGAGAUUGAGUGUUAGGCAAAUCCGGCACUCUUAAGAUUGAGCUGUGAUGGGGAGAGGAACUUGUUCCUCGAGUCGUUGAUUUCACACUGCCGAGAAAAGCCUCUAGCUAGAAUAACGGUGCCCGUACCGCAAACCGACACAGGUAGUCAAGAUGAGAAUUCUAAGGUGAGCGAGCGAACUCUCGUUAAGGAACUCGGCAAAAUGACCCCGUAACUUCGGGAGAAGGGGUGCUCUUUGAGGUUCACGCUUCGAAGAGCCGCAGUGAAUAGGCCCAAGCGACUGUUUAUCAAAAACACAGGUCUCUGCUAAACCGUAAGGUGACGUAUAGGGGCUGACGCCUGCCCGGUGCUGGAAGGUUAAGAGGAGUGGUUAGCGCAAGCGAAGCUACGAAUCGAAGCCCCAGUAAACGGCGGCCGUAACUAUAACGGUCCUAAGGUAGCGAAAUUCCUUGUCGGGUAAGUUCCGACCCGCACGAAAGGCGUAACGAUUUGGGCACUGUCUCAACGAGAGACUCGGUGAAAUCAUAGUACCGGUGAAGAUGCCGGUUACCCGCGACAGGACGGAAAGACCCCGUGGAGCUUUACUGUAGCCUGAUAUUGAAAUUCGGUACAGUUUGUACAGGAUAGGUAGGAGCCUUAGAAGCGUGAGCGCUAGCUUACGUGGAGGCAUUGGUGGGAUACUACCCUAAUUGUAUUGGAUUUCUAACCCGCAGCACUUAUCGUGCUGGGAGACAGUGUCAGGCGGGCAGUUUGACUGGGGCGGUCGCCUCCUAAAGAGUAACGGAGGCGCUCAAAGGUUCCCUCAGAAUGGUUGGAAAUCAUUCAUAGAGUGUAAAGGCAUAAGGGAGCUUGACUGCGAGACCUAC
rnacentral:rRNA from 1 species